ensembl:lncRNA
GCCGGGAGCCACGGGGGAGUUUCUGCGGUUCUGUAUAGGAGACGGAGCGAGCUCCGUUCCUUUGCUCGGCGCUGGGGCUGAGGAGCGGCUGCUGUGAGCCCUUUUGCGGUAAGGACCAGCCCAAACAGGAAAGACAGACUGGCCAGGUGGUGGAGUCUCUCUUCCAGCGAGAGAACAGGAACAUACUGAGCUCUCCCUAGGGAUGAAUGAAGAACCAGUGGAGUGUUUGCAUGUGAGGCUGAAGAAGCAGGAGAGGUGUGUGAAGACUGGAGGAUAGCUGAUGUCACCACAGCCUUCAGAAAAGGUGUCAUCUGCAAGUGGCUGGAAGAGAAGGAAUUUCUAAGGAGCAGUCAAGGCAAUUUCUAUGGAGGGGAAUUCAUGCUGGACCAAAAGGGUGAAGGCUGCAGAGGAGAGCUUUGCAGAGAGGAUUGGCUGGAACAGGUGUGCGCUUUUCCCAGUGGUGGGAAUGAAGGAGGUUUAGGGCUGGAGGAGGGAGGACCCCAGUGGUGUGAGUGGGGUGCCCCUGUGGAGCAAGGAGAGCUGUAUGUUGUUAUCUGUGAGGGUGGAAGGUCAUGCCCUGAAGGAGGGGAGUUAAGGGAGAGUGGCCCUUUCCAGCUGGAGCUGGGGGUCCCGGUGCGGCUGAUGUCCUGUGGGGAAGAUGCAGAUCCCGGGAGCUGCGACCAGGAGGAGGAGCGGAGCCAGCAGUGGCUCCUGUGUGGUGAUGGCUGCUUAGUGGUGGUGGUCCUGGGCUGAAAGGAGGAGGAGGAGAAAGCUUUUAGUGUGUUACUUCAAAGCUCAGUUUUCCUUCAGCAAGAAGCUAUGGGGAGCUUCUAGGUCUAAUGCUGUUCCUCUGCUUUUGAGCUGAAUUUCUGCAUGGCAGCCUUUCUCGAAUGCGGUACGGCUUCCCUGGCUUGAAGAUGGGUGUGCUGUCCUGAGGAGGAGCAGUGUUGACUGUCUUACAGUGACCUUCUGCUUUCCUUUAAGAAGAAUCCACUGAGAACUGUAUCUGGUUUCUCAGUAGGUAACUCAGGAGAGGGCUUCUCGGUGAAAUCCUUUGUGUUGAAUUGCAGUAAGUUGAGUAUGUGAACCUUCCUCCCAAACUGAGACCGAACGCCAGCAAAAAUGACAAAUAUGUUGUACUCUUUCCCUUUAUAACAAAAGAUGUGGUACUUCACUGGGGUUGCGCCUUUGUGUUCAAUGUUUGUAUGCAGUAUAUUGUAUCCUCAUGUGGGAGUCUGCUGUUAUAACUGCACUUUGGAUUAGUUAAUAAUCCAGUUGCGCUAUGACAGAAGUGCAGCAGCUGGAUAAUGCAGGAUAGAAAAUGGAGUUGACAGAGAUGCAAAAUGACUCUCCUACUGCCUUGACUUGAACUGUGUCUCAGUGUGCUAUUACUCUGACUCAUUAGUGCAAGCAGAUGUGUACCAUGAGGAAGGGCUGUUUUCUGAUGUGG